ACCUGUGGGCCCAAAGGAGGAAUGAGAAAAUACUCCCACUCAGGAGAAUAAACCUGUAGAUAAUAACAAGAUCAGGGUGGGGAGCUGGUGCACGGAGUAACCUCUAAUUCAUGGAGAUGCCUAAAUCAUCAUCAUUUGCAGUGGCUCCUGGGAAAUGGAAUUUUCCACAUAACUGAAUUCUCUAGAUAGCUAGUGUUUACUAUUUUAAGAUCCUAUAUUUUCUUAAUCAUUUUUAAUGGAAAUCUUAUGGAAGCAUUUUCAAUUUAGUUCAAUAAACAUUUAACAUGUUCUUGAUGACUCAGUGUCAUCCUUGUAAGGAGUAUUUUAUUGUGCUCUACAAGGGUGAUGUUCUUUGAGCUCAUUAAACCAUGGAAUCCUGAAGCGCCACUGCUGGUUAUUGUUCUUUCAAGGUCACACCUGUGUUUUUUAGACCGUUGGCCUACUUGCCUUGCUGAGAACUGUUCCAUCUGAGAACUUGUGUAUUCUAGUUCUUUUGAGACCCUGCUAUAUUGUGUAAGCAUUUGAUUGGGAAGGGCUCUGAUUGACAUCAAGAUUCAGCAGCUCGUGGCAGAUAUAUCUCUGCUGAUGUGAGGCUGUUUUCAUUUGUUUAUGAGUUUGCUGCUGGGUUUUGGCUACUGUGGUUAUGGUGGUCAGCAAUCUGAUCUCUGAUUGAAUAGGUCAUUCUUACAAGAUUCCUAUUCAUCUUUUUCACAACCAAAUUAAAACACAUUUUCCUUUACAAACAGGCUUCCUUAUAGAUUAAUGAUCAUUUACAUGAUAAUUGUAGAAAGUGUGUUUCAAACAAAUGCAGUAAAAUUUCUAAUCUCAUUCACAAUAAAACAUUAAUGAAGUUCAGAGUCUGUUCCUGAAGCUAUACGACUGGAAAUCACAAGCUAUUUCUAAGAGAAUUCCAUGGAAACAAUUGAAUGAUCAUGCAUUCAUUAAUUAUAACUAUUCAACUUAACUAAAUAGAUUCUUUAUUGGGUUUCCAUUGCCUUAAGUAUAAAGCUCAAUGUCUUUAACAUUGUAUCUGUUAGUUUUGCUGUCUAAAACCAC
rnacentral:lncRNA from 1 species